rnacentral:tRNA from 1 species
AGUCUUAUAUUCAAUAAUUUGAUAUAAAAUUGCAAAUUUUAAGGGAUAUAAUAGAUAUAUUAAGGCUU